rnacentral:rRNA from 1 species
CCUACGGGAGGCAGCAGUAAGGAAUAUUGGUCAAUGGACGCAAGUCUGAACCAGCCAUGCCGCGUGAAGGAUUAAGGUCCUCUGGAUUGUAAACUUCUUUUAUCUGGGACGAAAAAAGGCGAUUCUUCGUCACUUGACGGUACCAGAUGAAUAAGCACCGGCUAACUCCGUGCCAGCAGCCGCGGUAAUACGGAGGGUGCAAGCGUUAUCCGGAUUCACUGGGUUUAAAGGGUGCGUAGGCGGGCAGGUAAGUCAGUGGUGAAAUCCUAGAGCUUAACUCUAGAACUGCCAUUGAUACUAUCUGUCUUGAAUAUUGUGGAGGUAAGCGGAAUAUGUCAUGUAGCGGUGAAAUGCUUAGAUAUGACAUAGAACACCUAUUGCGAAGGCAGCUUACUACGCAUAUAUUGACGCUGAGGCACGAAAGCGUGGGGAGUCAAACAGGAUUAGAUACCCUGUAGUCCACGCCCUAAACGAUGAUUACUCGACAUUUGUGAUACACUAUAAGUGUCUGAGCGAAAGCAUUAAGUAAAUCCACCUUGGGAAGUACGACCGCAAGGUUGAAACUUAAAGGAAUUAGACGG